rnacentral:rRNA from 1 species
UGGGGAAUAUUGGACAAUGGGCGCAAGCCUGAUCCAGCAAUGCCGCGUGAGUGAUGAAGGCCUUAGGGUUGUAAAGCUCUUUCGCACGCGACGAUGAUGACGGUAGCGUGAGAAGAAGCCCCGGCUAACUUCGUGCCAGCAGCCGCGGUAAUACGAAGGGGGCUAGCGUUGUUCGGAAUUACUGGGCGUAGAGGGCGCGUAGGCGGCCUGUUUAGUCAGAAGUGAAAGCCCCGGGCUCAACCUGGGAAUAGCUUUUGAUACUGGCAGGCUUGAGUUCCGGAGAGGAUGGUGGAAUUCCCAGUGUAGAGGUGAAAUUCGUAGAUAUUGGGAAGAACACCGGUGGCGAAGGCGGCCAUCUGGACGGACACUGACGCUGAGGCGCGAAAGCGUGGGGAGCAAACAGAUUAGAUACCCUGGUAGUCCACGCCGUAAACGAUGAAUGCUAGACGUCGGGUNCAUNCACUUCGGUGUCGCCGCUAACGCAUUAAGCAUUCCGCCUGGGGAGUACGGCCGCAAGGUUAAAACUUAAAUGAAUUGACGGGGUCAUAGCUGUUUCCU